ACCAGACUCCUACGGGAGGCAGCAGUGGGGAAUAUUGCACAAUGGGGGAAACCCUGAUGCAGCGACGCCGCGUGAGUGAAGAAGUAUUUCGGUAUGUAAAGCUCUAUCAGCAGGGAAGAUAAUGACGGUACCUGAGUAAGAAGCCCCGGCUAACUACGUGCCAGCAGCCGCGGUAAUACGUAGGGGGCAAGCGUUAUCCGGAUUUACUGGGUGUAAAGGGGGCGUAGACGGCAUGGCAAGUCUGAAGUGAAAGCCCGGGGCUCAACCGCGGGACUGCUUUGGAAACUGUUAAGCUGGAGUGCAGGAGAGGUAAGUGGAAUUCCUAGUGUAGCGGUGAAAUGCGUAGAUAUUAGGAGGAACACCAGUGGCGAAGGCGGCCUGCUGGGCUUUUACUGACGCUGAGGCUCGAAAGUGUGGGGAGCAAACAGGAUUAGAUACCCCUAUA
rnacentral:rRNA from 1 species